CGGCUCCGCGCCCGCAGCCUCCCCAAGCCGGGGCUUCCCGCGACGCCUGCUGCAGCCACCUCGUCUCUGGCCCGCCGGCCGCCGGGAGGGAGGAGGAGGAGGAGAGAGGGAGGGAGGAGGGCGGCGAGGGAGAGGGGGCGGCGGGGAGGGAGAGAGGGUCCCGGGUGGGGGGAGGAGGGGCGAGCGCGGGCCGCGGCCAAGGGCUAGCGCGCGGGGAGGGCGCCGAGGGGCGGGGGCGGAGAGGGGGAGCACCCGCCGCGCCGGCCUGCCGCCCCCCCCCCCCCCGCCGCCGCCCAGUCACCAUCGCCGCCUCCGUCCCGCUCGGGGCCGGGCGUCCGGGGGGAGGGUCGGGCGCGGCGGUCCCCCGGCGCGGCGAGCGGGGCGGGCCGGCGGGCGGACGAGGCCCGGCCUCCGGAGGGGAGGGUCCUGCGGGCCCGGCGGGUGUUGGCGAAAGGGGAUCCCCGGGGGGAGGGGCGGAGGCCGGGGCCUGGGAGCCGCUCGCUGCGCCCGCCCGGCGGCGGUGCCUCCCGGAUCCAGCGAGGGUCCCCGGGCCGUGCCGGGAACCUCCGGGACGGGUGUCUCCGGAGCGCCGAGAGCGCGCACGGCCGGCGGGGUGGCGGGAGCGGCGAAGUCGGAGUCGGAGGGAGAGGCCCGGCUCCUCGGGCGGAGCGCGGGCCCCGGAGCGGUUCCCCAGGCUGGGCCCGAGCGCGAGAACGUCCGCCCGGUGGGCCCGGGGAAUCCAGAGCGGGCGGUGGGCUGGGGUGCCUGCACCCCCAUCCUCGCCUUCCUGUCCCGGAGAGGAGCCUCCGGCAUAAGUUUCCCUGUGCCGUGGGUCUCCAGAAACAUGCUGAGUCGACCGUACUUCCUUCCAUACAUCUGUUGAGCUCUGAUUAUAUGCCAGGGACUGUUCUAGGCACUGGGGAUGCAUCAGUGAACAAAGAGAAGCACAGAAAUGCCUGCCUUCAUAGACUGUGCGUCCUCGAACGUGGCAACACAGGAUGACAUUUUCCUAGAUUACAGAUCUUUCUCAGAAGAGGUACGAAAUACAAAGAAGCAUGGGGGAUUAGCUGUUUUCCAAUAUUGACGACAGGCAUCAAACCACCCAGUUGUUUUUGGUAACAACAGUGCUGUGCAUCUGGUCCCUGACUAGUGCUUUCCGGAGCUUUAUCUUUUCUAUUAUGAAUUAUGUGUGGCUCUCAAUACCCCUAAGAGGUAAAGUUUUCCUCUUACCCUCUCUAAGACCUACAAUGAAAUUUGGAAAAUGCUCACUCAGCGUGAUUCAGUAGCAAUGCAAAGAUGGAAAUUUGAGGAAACUACUGCUGUUCUUUGCAUUGUGAAGAGGAUCUUUGUCCCUAAUCUGGCUCAGACUGAAAAACCUAAUCUGAAAGUCUGUCCUGUAAGAAACUUUUUUUCUUUUACUUUCUCUUCCAAUCCUCUUCUUGGAAACAAGAAGCACAAACACGUCUCUGUGAAAUUAGCAAUUGUUGGGCAGCCUAUCUUCAUGUAGCACUCGAGUUAGAAGAUAUAGUAUUUUCUACUGAUAAUAACAGUAUUGUGUAUUCUGCCUACUUCCUAUUCUGAGUGACUUGUUAUCAAUAUAACAGAAGAGGGGCUGGCUCUGUGGCUGAGUGCUUAAGUUCGUGUGCUCCGCUUGGGUGGCCCAGGGUUUCUC
rnacentral:lncRNA from 1 species